rnacentral:rRNA from 1 species
CAAUAGCGUAUAUUAAAGUUGUUGCAGUUAAAAAGCUCGUAGUUGGAUUUGUGGCGUACAGUGUGUUCCGGGCACUUGUUGUCUGAGUAACCUGCUGUUGCCAUCCUUGGGUGGAACCUGUGUGGCAUUAGGUUGUCGUGCAGGGGAUGCCCAUCAUUUACUGUGAAAAAAUUAGAGUGUUCAAAGCAGGCUUAUGCCGUUGAAUAUAUUAGCAUGGAAUAAUGAGAUAGGACUUUUUUGCUAUUUUGUUGGUUUGCGCAAGAAGGUAAUGAUUAAUAGGGACAGUUGGGGGUAUUCGUAUUCCAUUGUCAGAGGUGAAAUUCUUGGAUUUUUGGAAGACGAACUACUGCGAAAGCAUUUACCAAGGAUGUUUUCAUUAA